GCUUUACUGUAACUUGAGAUUGAAAUUGGACUUUAUUUGCGCAGUAUAGGUGGGAGACGUUGAGAAUAUUCUUGCGGGAAUGUUGGAGUCAUCAGUGAGAUACCACUCUUGUAAUGUUAGAUUUCUAACUUUGUAUCAUUAUCUGGUCAAAGGACAGUUUCAGGCGGGCAGUUUGACUGGGGCGGUCGCCUCCUAAACGGUAACGGAGGCGCACAAAGGUUUCCUCUGAACGUGUAGAAAUCGUAUCUAGAGUGUAAAGGCAUAAGGAAGCUUGACUGUGAGACCUACAAGUCGAGCAGGGACGAAAGUCGGUCUUAGUGAUCUGACGGUGCUG
rnacentral:rRNA from 1 species